UACGUAGGGAGCAAGCGUUGUCCGGAAUCAUUGGGCGUAAAGCGCGCGUAGGCGGCCCCGUAAGUCCGCUGUGAAAGUCAAAGGCUCAACCUUUGAAAGCCGGUGGAUACUGUGGGGCUAGAGUACGGAAGAGGCGAGUGGAAUUCCUGGUAUAGCGGUGGAAUGGCGCAGAGUAUCAGGAGGAACACCAAUAGCGAAGGCAGCUCGCUGGGACGUUACUGACGCUGAGGCGCGAAGCGUGGGGAGCGAACAGG
rnacentral:rRNA from 1 species